rnacentral:lncRNA from 1 species
AGCCCUAAGAGGGCGGGGCCUGGGCGACUGGACGCGGGCUUCACUGUUCUUCGCAGUCAAGUCUGAAGACUGUUCUGCCAUUUCUUUUGGGGACUGACACGAUAAAGGAUUCCACGGUUUCGCUUCAGCGGGAAAGCACUCGGUUGAAUUUUACCCCGGUGAUGGAGGCAGUGGGACGCGUAAGGAGUAAAGGAGGAUGAUUGUGGCUGCCCCGAGAGCCCGCCGUAUCCUCAUGGAGUCUCCUCCCCUUGCUGCACGUAGGAUUGGGUCUUGUCAUGGAGGGAUUCCUGGGGUGGCUGGACCCCGCUGGAGCCGAACACCCGCCUGGGUCGUGCUCAGUGCACACAAUUGGAUAAGGCAGCUCUACUCUCCCUCAAGUCUUCCGUAUUACAAAGAGAGAGGUGGGGUGCUGUUUUGCCUGUAGUGGAAGUUAUAGAGUUUAUGUCUUUGCCAGAGAUGGUGCUAUACAUUUUUUGACUGCUAAGAGAUUACGGACCUCUCUUCCCAGAAGGUCAUUUAGAACUAGAGUUUUGUGAUCAUAAUAGAUUCUUUGUAACAAGCCAUACUGUUUGGGAAGAACUGACUACCAGAGUUUCAAGAGCCCCUCCUCCUUCUUGCUAUUUUCUUUUCUCACGUCAUCCUUUAACUCUCUGGUUUCUAAAUAACUGACAUACUUCAGCCUGCUCUCUAUUUAGGUGAUUUCUGACAUUAUACUUUUUGUUAAUUUUUAAAUUUUUUGACAUUGGUGUUCACUCAAUUGGCCAGACUGCCUUGAACAUAAUCUGUAGCCCUAUCAGGCCUUGAGCUUGCAUUCCCCCUGUCCCAGGCUCCAGAGUAACUGGGAUUGCAGGCUUGUGCCAUUGGCCCUGGCUAGUGUGCACAUCUUGCUGAGUUCUGCCACGGUCUCAAACUACUCCUUUAAAGUUAUUAAUACAAAAAUCC